UAUAAAUAAAUUUGACUUGACUUGACUUAAAUAGUAAUUGUGCAUUAAAUGUGCAGAAGUGUGUUCUUUGUAGAGGACUUGUUAACUUGUUUUCACUUACAUAAUCAACAGAACCAGAGCGCUCAAACUUUUGUAUACGACUGUAGUAUGUUAGUGUGCAAUUUUGGCUGCAGCCCAGGAUCAAGAACCGCUUCCUUUCUACACAUUCAGUAAUUCUACUGGUAGAAACAGAGACUGCAUAGGUGUGGGGCGUCUCCCAUUAUCACGUCAUUUCAUACUUUCAGUAUCCACACAUCCACUCUUCAGGGUGUUUAUAAAAGCACCUAAUGUUUGCUAAACCCUGUUGAUCUUUUUCGACACAUCACAUUCGGAGGCCAAAGCAGUCAUACUGGGCAUGAGGUUGCUGCAUUUUUUGCGGGGUACCAUCUCAAUGAACCCUCACUGUCCUCAGCAGCCAGGGGCUUGGGGAAUUCCUUGCCACUACAUGUUCUGCCUACACCCACCACUAGGGGAACCGUGUUAUCCACCAAUAGGUCCAGGACAUUAUGGGUUGUAUGGACAUGGAGAAUACGUCCACUUUAAUAAGCAUCAUGGUCACAGACAUCAUCACUGGCACUACCAAGGACAUCAUCAUGGUUUUUUUCACCAUCAUGGUCAUCAUGGCUUUGUCAACAUGAAAACACAAGGAUGGGACAAAGUGAGACCACCCAACAUUACUAAACAUUACUGAAACAGAUAUCUGCUAGAAGAAAGAUCAGAAAUAUGAAAACUUGAGAUAUAAUAUAAUCUGGUUUCUCUUUUCCUAAAUGUAACAACAAAUAUCCAGUUUGUUUAAGAUUCAUUAUUAAAACCGUUAACAAAGAAUAACAAAAAAGCUCUAAAUAAAAGCUAAAUAAAUAUGGCAAGUAGGACUUUGAACAUACAUACCUGCAAAUGCUUGCUUCUUGUAUUAUAUGUUGAUUAUUCAAAACAGUUUUUUUUUAAUCUAAAGCUAUUUAUUGAAUAAAUUAUGCAUUUCAUUACAUUGGAUAGCAAAAUGUACAUCUGCAUUAUUUCUGCUCAUUUUACUUGAAGUCAGACAACUCAACGUUCAAAAGUUAACAUAUAUAAAAUACUUUUGGCAUGCUUCAAACAAACAACUAUGAAUGCAAUCAAUCCCAUCAAUUAAACAUUGGUUAACUAUGAAUAAAAAACAAGUGAGCCUGGUCUGUGCAAACUGUAUACACUGUCUGGUCCAUAAGUAUUUGGACAUUGACAAGGUAGUAUCUUAUUUUUUUUAAGUUUUAAAUGUAGCCACUAGAAGCUGUGUAGUGUAGAAUGUAUUGCAGAGCAGAACAUAUUUUGUAAUUUUGUCAGCUGUCAAUUAUAAUACAUAAUACACUGUUCUAAACAGUGACUAUUAGAGCUAGGACUUCAGUUCAGUGUCAAAAAAAAAGUGAAAAAUAAGGAAAAGAGCACUGUGCCAGGCACCCGUCCCCCAGGGUCCGAUGAUGGCCGCGAGAGCUGGCAAGAAGGCGGAGCUCGAACCCCAAGCGCAGACGACAGCCCAUGAUGACAGCGGGGGAAGGAUGAUAACCGUGAGCGCUGAGGGGACGGCACCUGAGUUCCGAGCCCCACCUCCUGGGGACUGAAAAGUCUUGACAAGCCACUCAGUUGUGGUGGGUGUAAAUGUGUGUGA